rnacentral:lncRNA from 1 species
UUUUUUUUAAUUCAAAGAGAAAUAAUAUUAUAAUAGUUCAUUUUAUUUACGUUAAACAUGAAAUUGUAGAAUGUUUAUUACUAAAUUUCAGCAUCUUAAAUGAAAACUAUAGACACUUAACUCCUAAAAAAAAAACCAGCUGAAUUAGAUAUGUAAAUCUAUUUCGAAAUGUUUGUAAUAAUACAUAAGUGUCACGCACGUUGACAGUACUGUUGCACUUUUAUAAUUUAAUACGCCAGACGUGCGUUUUGUCUACAUAUGUUAUAAAGCCAAACAAGAACAAAGUUGAAGAGCAUUAAGGAUAAAAAAAAAUCCAAAAAGUUGUGCUAAAUACGGCUAAGGUAAUCUAUUCCGGGGAUAAGAAAAUAGUCCAAAUUAGCAUUUAAACGAGCAAUAAUAAAUCAAUCAUGAUUUCCGUGGUAGAAUGUCAAUUAAUGCUUCAAGAGGAAACUACUGAACAAUAUCGGGUCAAUGAACUAAUGUGACUAAUUAUCGGAUUUGUCCUUGAUGGAGAAGGAUCUGUUUACUCUUACGGAGCAUCUGUGGUCUUCUUUAGAUCUGUUGGUUAUGCUAUUAAUUUAGUUUGCAGAAUGGCAUUUGUUUCAUUUUCUUUUCCAUUCCAAUCCAGCCGAGAUUCUUGUUGAGAAAGUGAACAUGAACGAUGUCUUAUUAAUUCAAAGAUUUGUUGGGGUUACAAAAUUGAAGUGUACCAACUAACAUAUUUUGACAGGAAUAAAACGA